GGGCCCGCACAAGCGGUGGAGCAUGUGGUUUAAUUCGAAGCAACGCGAAGAACCUUACCAGGUCUUGACAUCCUUUGAAAACUCUAGAGAUAGAGCGUCCCCUUCGGGGGCAAAGAGACAGGUGGUGCAUGGUUGUCGUCAGCUCGUGUCGUGAGAUGUUGGGUUAAGUCCCGCAACGAGCGCAACCCUUAUUGUUAGUUGCCAUCAUUCAGUUGGGCACUCUAGCGAGACUGCCGGUGACAAACCGGAGGAAGGUGGGGAUGACGUCAAAUCAUCAUGCCCCUUAUGACCUGGGCUACACACGUGCUACAAUGGGAAGUACAACGAGCAGCGAACCUGCGAAGGUAAGCGAAAUCUCUGAAAGCUUCUCUCAGUUCGGAUUGUAGGCUGCAACUCGCCUACAUGAAGCCGGAAUCGCUAGUAAUCGCGGAUCAGCACGCCG
rnacentral:rRNA from 1 species